GUGGGAGAUAAUGACAACGCUCCGGGUGAGGGUGGAAAUCCACAAGAAUCUAUUAUUGCUGUCGGAUCCGGAUAGCUGAUCAGUAUGGUCGGAAAUGCAUUUUUCAGUGUCGGCUAAUGCUAUUCUCGAGUUCCCCAACCGGGGAACCUCCCUCGAUGGUGUAGCAAGUUAAUAUUUCGGGAACAAUUGGCCGGAGGACAUGCAGUUUUUCAGACGCUAAGUGCAUCUAAAUCAGCGAGUCUGUUCUCUUUGCUGCAGCCCGAGUUCCCCGACCGGUGGUGCUAUAACACAAUCGUAAAGUGAAGUAAUG